UACGUAGGGGGGCAAGCGUUGUCCGGAUUUAUUGGGCGUAAAGAGCUCGUAGGUGGUUCGGUAAGUCGGAUGUGAAAUCUCCAGGCUCAACCUGGAGGGGUCAUUCGAUACUGCCGUGACUAGAGGUCGGUAGGGGAGUGUGGAAUUCCUGGUGGAGCGGUGAAAUGCGCAGAUAUCAGGAGGAACACCCGUAGCGAAGGCGGCACUCUGGGCCGAUACUGACACUGAGGAGCGAAAGCGUGGGGAGCGAACAGG
rnacentral:rRNA from 1 species